UACGGAGGGUGCAAGCGUUAAUCGGAAUUACUGGGCGUAAAGCGUGCGCAGGCGGUUUGUUAAGUCCGUUGUGAAAGCCCCGAGCUCAACUUGGGAAUUGCAGUGGAUACUGGCAGGCUGGAGUACGGUAGAGGAAGGUGGAAUUCCCGGUGUAGCAGUGAAAUGCGUAGAUAUCGGGAGGAACACCAGUGGCGAAGGCGGCCUUCUGGACCAGUACUGACGCUCAUGCACGAAAGCGUGGGAAGCAAACAGG
rnacentral:rRNA from 1 species